rnacentral:rRNA from 1 species
UACCUGCAGCUCAAGUGGUGACCACUAUUAUUGGGCCUAAAACGUUCGUAGCCGGUUUGGUAAAUGCCUGGGUAAAUCGUGUAGCUUAACUAUACGAAUUCCGGGUAGACUGCCAAACUUGAGACCGGGAGAAGCUAGAGGUACUCCUGGGGUAGAGGUGAAAUUCUGUAAUCCUGGGGGGACCACCAGUGGCGAAGGCGUCUAGCUAGAACGGGUUUGACGGUGAGGAACGAAGCCCUGGGGCGCAAACCGGAUUAGAUACCCGGGUAGUCCAGGGUGUAAACGCUGCUUGCUUGAUGUUAGUUGGGCUCCGAGCCCAAUUAGUGUCGGAGAGAAGUUGUUAAGCAAGCUGCCUGGGAAGUACGAUCGCAAGACUGAAACUUAAGGAAUUGGCGGGGGAGCACAGCAACGGGUGGAGCGUGCGGUUU